rnacentral:rRNA from 1 species
GUGGGGAAUAUUGGACAAUGGGCGAAAGCCUGAUCCAGCCAUGCCGCGUGUGUGAAGAAGGUCUUCGGAUUGUAAAGCACUUUAAGUUGGGAGGAAGGGCAGUAAGUUAAUACCUUGCUGUUUUGACGUUACCAACAGAAUAAGCACCGGCUAACUUCGUGCCAGCAGCCGCGGUAAUACGAAGGGUGCAAGCGUUAAUCGGAAUUACUGGGCGUAAAGCGCGCGUAGGUGGUUUGGUAAGAUGGAUGUGAAAUCCCCGGGCUCAACCUGGGAACUGCAUCCAUAACUGCCUGACUAGAGUACGGUAGAGGGUGGUGGAAUUUCCUGUGUAGCGGUGAAAUGCGUAGAUAUAGGAAGGAACACCAGUGGCGAAGGCGACCACCUGGACUGAUACUGACACUGAGGUGCGAAAGCGUGGGGAGCAAACAGGAUUAGAAACCCGAGUAGUCC